GACGAACGCUGGCGGCGUGCUUAACACAUGCAAGUCGAACGGUGAAGCGCCUUCCUUUUUGGUGGGUGUGGUUGAGUGGCGAACGGGUGAGUAACACGUGAGUAACCUGCCCCCUUCUUCUGGAUAACCGCAUGAAAGUGUAGCUAAUACGGGAUAUCCUGGUUCUGUCGCAUGAUGGGUCUGGGUAAGAUAUUGUUUCGGUGGGGGAUGGGCUCGCGGCCUAUCAGCUUGUUGGUGGGGUGAUGGCCUAUCAAGGCGGUGACGGGUAGCCGGCCUGGGAGGGUGGACGGCCACACAGGGACUGAGGCACGGCCGAGACUGCUACGGGAGGCAGAAGUGGGGAAGAGUGCACAGUGGGGGAAAGCCUGAUGCGGCGACGCCGCGUGAGGGAUGGAGGCCUUCGGGUGGUGAACCUCUUUCGCUAGUGAAGCGGGCCUGCCUGGGUUGUGGGUGGGUUGACGGUAGCUGGAUAAGAAGCGCCGGCUAACUACGUG
rnacentral:rRNA from 1 species